UGGGGGAUAUUGCACAAUGGGCGAAAGCCUGAUGCAGCGACGCCGCGUGGGGGAUGAAGGCUUUCGGGUUGUAAACCUCUUUCGCUAUCGAACAAGGCCCGCUUAGGGUGGGUUGAGGGUAGGUGGAGAAGAAGCGCCGGCUAACUACUUGCCAGCAGCCGGGGUAAUACGUAGGGCGCGAGCGUUGUCCGGAAUUAUUGGGCGUAAAGGGCUUGUAGGCGGCUUGUUGCGCCUGCUGUGAAAACGCGGGGCUUAACUUCGCGCGUGCAGUGGGUACGGGCAGGCUUGAGUGUGGUAGGGGUGACUGGAAUUCCAGGUGUAGCGGUGGAAUGCGCAGAUAUCUGGAGGAACACCGAUGGCGAAGGCAGGUCACUGGGCCAUUACUGACGCUGAGGAGCGAAAGCAUGGGUAGCGAACAGG
rnacentral:rRNA from 1 species